AGAGGACCAGUAUCCCUCGCAGGGUGACACCUGACCAGCUCUGUCCCACCUGGCCAUGGGCUCCAGGUACCUCUGAUGGGAAGUCCUUUGUCUCCUGGGACCCGGUGAGUCCUUGGCACAGGCCCAGUGGAUUCUGCUGUGCAGAACAGAGAGCAGUGGACCUCAGGAGGCCUGCAAGGGGAGGACAUAGGACAGCGACAUCACAGGAUGCCCCUCCCACCAGGAAAAGCGAGGCUGAGAACUCAGCUCUUCCCCAGGAGGACCAAGCCCGGAGCACAGACACAGUGCUGCCUGCCCCUUGGUGCCACGGGCUCCAUGCUGCUCUGCUGGGCACUGCUUUGUCUCCUGGGAGCAGGCCCAGUAGAGGCUGGAGUCACUCAAACUCCAAGAUCUCUGAUCAAAAUGAGAGGACAGCAAGUGACAUUGAGCUGCUCCCCUAUCUCUGGGCAUAGGAGUGUGUCCUGGUACCAACAGACCCCAGGACAGGGCCUUCAGUUCCUCUUCGAAUACUUCAGUGAGACACAGAGAGAAAAAGGAAAGUUCCCUAGUCGAUUCUCAGGGCGACAGUUCUCUAACUCUCGCUCUGAGAUGAAUGUGAGCACCUUGGAGCUGGAGGACUCGGCCCUUUAUCUCUGUGCCAGCAGCUUGGCACAGCCCUACAAAGCCAACCACAUUCUGUGCACAAACCUCCCGGGCCCAGUGUGGAGCAACCUCAGCCCUGACAUAUCUGUGAGAACGUGGGGACUGCAGGGAGAAAGAAAGGCAAUUUAG